GAUGAACGCUGGCGGCGUGCUUAACACAUGCAAGUCGAGCGAAGCAAUUUAAAGGAAGUUUUCGGAUGGAAUUUAGAUUGACUUAGCGGCGGACGGGUGAGUAACGCGUGGGGAACCUGCCUCGUACUGGGGGAUAACAGUUAGAAAUGACUGCUAAUACCGCAUAAGCGCACAGGAUGGCAUCAUCCGGUGUGAAAAACUGCGGUGGUAUGAGAUGGACCCGCGUCUGAUUAGCUAGUUGGUAGGGUAACGGCCUACCAAGGCGACGAUCAGUAGCCGACCUGGGAGGGUGACCGGCCACAUUGGGACUGAGACACGGCCCAAACUCCUACGGGAGGCAGCAGUGGGGAAUAUUGCACAAUGGGCGAAAGCCUGAUGCAGCGACGCCGCGUGAGUGAAGAAGUAUUUCGGUAUGUAAAGCUCUAUCAGCAGGGAAGAAAAUGACGGUACCUGACUAAGAAGCCCCGGCUAACUACGUGCCAGCAGCCGCAGUAA
rnacentral:rRNA from 1 species